CUGCCCUAAUAUCAGUGCCAUCACUCACCGACCUGCGGCGAGGCACAAUGGAGAUAUGCGACUUCGGUGCAGACCUAAUAAGGCGCCGUACAGCUCGUCAGACAUGCAAAUGAGAAGGUCGCUACAAUCUGUACACGUGACCGACGAGCCCGAAGGAGAAGCGCAAUGACACGCAUACCGCAAAGCUUCGUUCUGGUCCUCAUUAAUGAAUGGACCAAAUGGAUGCCUGUGCACUGAAGAGAAGCACACGGGGAGGUCAAAAUAAAUUUGAAUUGAUACAAACAUCCCGUCUGCUGUGCCUUUCUUCGGUACUCACGUGUGUCUCAUCAUCACCCUACAAGAUACACGGACAUAACCCCACCAGCAGGUAUUCACUGGAUCUUUGAAUUCUUUAAC